rnacentral:lncRNA from 1 species
AAAGUCCUCCUGGACGCCCCCAGCACUGGUGGACAGCUGGAAGUGGCAUGUUUCACCUUUGUAACCGUCCCUGAAGGCAAACAAACAGCCGUGUGCCUCUCAUACAGUUUCAGGCAGCAUCUCCCAUGUUUCUGGAGGUCCAGAGGAGUGAGUUGGGCUCCCCCAGGCUGUGACGGUCCGCUCAUCAUGCUGCUGGCCGGCCGUGUUGCUUCAAUGACGGCUCCCACGGUGGGGUGGGGUACCGGGCUGCUGCUGCUGCUGCAGAUGAUCCGCUGCUCCGCCAGCGUCAGGCCCAGAUCAGGUGAACCCCUCCUGCCGGCACCGCUGCCCCCUGAGCCGACCGCAGCAUUGGUGGUGGGAUGAACUCUCAGCUGGGAUACAGAUGGGAUCGUCGGCCUAUAAUGUUCUGUUGAGCUCAGCUUCUCCAGAGGGGAACUGGAAGCUGAAACAAACUGACGGAGGAAAAAAGAUCUUCAGCACAUUAAUGAUUUAACAAAGGUCAACCGUCUUCAGCCUGCUGUCUUCAGGCAGAGCGACCUGAAUUCAACCAUUUUCUGAACUCGUUUUAUCCUUUGUGUCAAACUAAAGGCCCGGGGGCCAAAUGUGGCCCUCCAUGUCGUUUUAUGUGGCCCGUGAGAACAUACAAGUUUUUAAUUUCUUAGAAUAAAAAUGGGUGGAUAUUUAUUCAUAUUUAGGGGGAAUCAGACUUAAAAUAUGGGAUUGGGUAACUAUACAUUAGGACUUAAACACUGUCCAUAAAAUCUAACCUGACAGAAUCAAAUGUAAAAGGAUUUAUGCUAAAGUAACAAGCUGACAUAUGUUUCUAUGCAACUGGAAUUGUCACUUUAAAAAGUUAUAAUGAAUAAAAAAAUAGUUAUUUAACAUUAAGAAGUACAUUUAUUUUCAUUACAUUUAGUUACAUGUAUAAUUUCUAUCUGGCCCUUUGAGGACAGACACUAUGCUGAUGUGGCCCUCAGUGAAAAUGAGUUUGACCCCCCUGCUUAAUGGGGUCACUGGCUGCCAGGGCCUAACCUGGCCUCUGCGGGGCGAAGGCUUACCUGUUUGAUUUUCUAUGUACAUUAUUUCUGUUAUGCUGCGUUUAGGAAACACUGUUCUAUUCUAUUGUCCAUAAAUUAACCCAACAAGCAUCUCUGACCUCCAAACCAAACAGAACAUCCCAUCCAGUGAUGAAACACAAAUCACAUUUGCCACUGGAGAGCAUCAAAUACACUAUAUCACCAAAAGUAUUGGCUCCCCCACCCAGAUGAUCAGAAUCAGGUGUCCUGAUCAC